rnacentral:rRNA from 1 species
GACAGAGGGUGCAAACGUUGUUCGGAAUUACUGGGCGUAAAGCGCGUGUAGGCGGCCAACUAAGUCGGGCGUGAAAUCCCACGGCUCAACCGUGGAAGUGCACUCGAAACUGGAUGGCUAGAGUCCUGGAGAGGAAGGUGGAAUGCUUGGUGUAGAGGUGAAAUUCGUAGAUAUCAAGCGGAACACCGGUGGCGAAGGCGGCCUUCUGGACAGUGACGUGACGCUGAG